GCGUUGUUCGGAUUUACUGGGCGUAAAGCGCACGUAGGCGGAUCGUUAAGUCGGGGGGGAAAUCCUGGAGCUCAACUCCAGAACUGCCUUCGAUACUGGCGAUCUUGAGUCCGAAAGAGGUGAGUGGAACUCCUAGUGUAGAGGUGGAAUUCGUAGAUAUUAGGAAGAACACCAGUGGCGAAGGCGGCUCACUGGUCCGGUACUGACGCUGAGGUGCGAAAGCGUGGGGAGCAAACAGG
rnacentral:rRNA from 1 species